rnacentral:rRNA from 1 species
GAUGAACGCUGGCUCCAGGCUUAGCACAUGCAAGUCGAGGGGAAACGACGGGGAAGCUUGCUUCCCCGGGCGUCGACCGGCGCACGGGUGAGUAACGCGUAUCCAACCUGCCUCUGACUGAGGGAUAACCCGUCGAAAGUCGGCCUAAUACCUCAUGGUAUCGUCUGCGGGCAUCCAACGACGAUUAAAGAUUUCAUCGGUCAGGGAUGGGGAUGCGUCUGAUUAGCUUGUUGGCGGGGUAACGGCCCACCAAGGCUACGAUCAGUAGGGGUUCUGAGAGGAAGGUCCCCCACAUUGGAACUGAGACACGGUCCAAACUCCUACGGGAGGCAGCAGUGAGGAAUAUUGGUCAAUGGGCGAGAGCCUGAACCAGCCAAGUAGCGUGCAGGAAGACGGCCCUAUGGGUUGUAAACUGCUUUUAUGCGGGGAUAAAGUGAGGGACGUGUCCCUCAUUGCAGGUACCGCAUGAAUAAGGACCGGCUAAUUCCGUG